AGUUCUAACCAUAAACUAUGCCUGCCAGCGAUCCGCCGGCGUUCCUCCGAUGACCCGGCGGGCAGCUUCCGGGAAACCAGAGCCUUUGGGUUCCGGGGGAAGUAUGGUUGCAAAGCUGAAACUUAAAGGAAUUGACGGAAGGGCACCACCAGGAGUGGAGCCUGCGGCUUAAUUUGACUCAACACGGGAAAACUCACCAGGCCCGGACACCGGAAGGAUUGACAGAUUGAGAGCUCUUUCUUGAUUCGGUGGGUGGUGGUGCAUGGCCGUUCUUAGUUGGUGGAGCGAUUUGUCUGGUUAAUUCCGAUAACGAACGAGACUCUAGCCUACUAACUAGACGUAUCCGGUAUCCAAUAUCGUGCUACCGGCGAUCAAAUCUCUUCUUAGAGGGACAGGCGGCUUCUAGCCGCACGAGACUGAGCAAUAACAGGUCUGUGAUGCCCUUAGAUGUCCUGGGCCGCACGCGCGCUACACUGAACGAGACAGCGUGUCUUCCCUGUCCGAAAGGACCGGGUAACCCGCUGAACCUCAUUCGUGCUAGGGAUUGGGGCCUGCAAUUGUUCCCCAUGAACGAGGAAUUCCCAGUAAGCGCGAGUCAUAAGCUCGCGUUGAUUACGUCCCUGCCCUUUGUACACACCGCCCGUCGCUACUACCGAUUGAAUGAUUUAGUGAGGUCUUCAGACCGGGGCGCGAAGGCGACGCAAGUCGCCUCCNAUGUUGUCGGAAAGAUGACCAAACUUGAUCAUUUAGAGGAAGUAAAAGUCGUAACAAAGGUUUCCGUAGGUGAAACCCU
rnacentral:rRNA from 1 species